rnacentral:rRNA from 1 species
GAUGAACGCUGACAGAAUGCUUAACACAUGCAAGUCGAUGGGGAAGUGGUGCUUGCACCAUGGCAACCAUGGCGGACGGGUGAGUAACGCGUAAGGGACUUACCUGCAGGACUGGGAUAACAGGGGGAAACUCCUGACAAGACCGGAUAAUGUCAUGGAGCUGCAUGGCUUUAUGAUGAAAGGAGACGCCUGCGGAGAGCCUUGCGUCCUAUUAGCUAGUUGGUGAGGUAAUGGCUCACCAAGGCGAAGAUAGGUAGCCGGCCUGAGAGGGUGGACGGCCACAAGGGGACUGAGAUACGGCCCUUACUCCUACGGGAGGCAGCAGUGGGGAAUAUUGGACAAUGGGGGCAACCCUGAUCCAGCACUUCUGUGUGCACGAAGAAGGUUUUCGGUUUGUAAAGUGCUUUCAGCAGGGAAGAAGUAAGUGACGGUACCUGCAGAAGAAGCGACGGCUAAAUACGUG